UACGGGGGGAGCAAGCGUUGUUCGGAUUUACUGGGCGUAAAGGGCGGGUAGGCGGCCACCGCAAGUCAGUUGUGAAAUCUCCGGGCUUAACCCGGAAAGGUCAACUGAUACUGCGGGGCUAGAGUGCAGAAGGGGCAACUGGAAUUCUCGGUGUAGCGGUGAAAUGCGUAGAUAUCGAGAGGAACACCUGCGGCGAAGGCGGGUUGCUGGGCUGACACUGACGCUGAGGAACGAAAGCUAGGGGAGCAAACAGG
rnacentral:rRNA from 1 species